UACAGAGGUGCGAGCGUUGUUCGGAAUUACUGGGCGUAAAGCGCGCGCAGGCGGCUCUUUAAGUCUGACGGUGAAAAUGCCGGGGCUCAACCCCGAGCGUGCCGGAGAUACUGGAGGCUGGAGACGAGUAGAGGCAAGCGGAAUUCCGGGUGUAGCGGUGGAAUGCGUAGAGAUCCGGAAGAACACCGGAGGCGAAGGCGGCUUGCUGGGCUCGGUCUGACGCUGAGGCGGCGAAAGCGUGGGGAGCGAACAGG
rnacentral:rRNA from 1 species